rnacentral:rRNA from 1 species
UACGGAGGGUGCGAGCGUUAUCCGGAUUCACUGGGUUUAAAGGGUGCGUAGGUGGGUUUGUAAGUCAGUGGUGAAAUCUCCAGGCUUAACCUGGAAACUGCCAUUGAUACUAUAGAUCUUGAAUUUUCUGGAGGUAAGCGGAAUAUGUCAUGUAGCGGUGAAAUGCUUAGAUAUGACAUAGAACACCAAUUGCGAAGGCAGCUUGCUACAGGGAUAUUGACACUGAGGCACGAAAGCGUGGGGAGUCAAACAGGA